UUGCCCAUCCUGUUAUUUAUUUUCAUUUUUGAAAGUAUCCUAUCUCAAAAAUACACUCAGGUCAUGUUGACUGUCAGUAAACAAUCUGAAGGAGCUCAGAUAUGAGUUAUCAGCUGGGAAACUGGCCUUGCCAAGUCUCCUAAAAUCCUCCAAGCAACCUUGCUUUGCUUCAGUCUCUGAAAGGACUUACAGCUGGCUCCCAACAUCCACCCUCAUCCCCAGCCUACUUCCUGAGGAUCACUUCUGCUUUCUUCAGAAUUGGGGUCCAUCUGGAAAGAUCUGAAACCACAGCAAAAUUAGAACCAGCACCUUCAUCUCAGACAUGAGGAGGAAAGUGGAUCAUAGAAGGUGCAACUAACCCAGGUUAAAACAUUCAGUAUAUGUCAAUGCCUAAGCCAAGAGGAAGACUGCAACCAGCUGGAGGAGAUGAAGUUAAUCUAACGGAGCGGGAACAGAAAGCUUAGCCUGUUUUCCCAAUUUAAAAGUAGAAAUAGAAAAAUGGAAAAAAGCCAGGAGUGGAAAGAGAUUCUUAUCGGUCUACAAUAAACAGAAGGAAAAUGGAAACAUGUUCAUUUUAGCCAACAGUUCCUAAGAAUAUUUCUAAUAGUUAUUUUUGUAUUCUAAACAAUCACUUUCUAUACCAAUUAAAUGCCUUUGCUGAUCCCA